rnacentral:lncRNA from 1 species
CCCGACUCUAUGCCUUGUAUGUGGUUAUAUAGAUUGUAGCCUUCUAACUACUAGCACCCACAUAUAAGCAAAUUCAUGCUGUAUUUGUUGUUCUAAGUUACUUCAUUAUGGAUGUUUUUUUCCCCUAGACCUGUCCAUUUAGCUGCAAAUUUCAUUUUUAACAGGCAGAGAUGUCCAGAUGACCCUGGGUGAGUAUAGGGAGUCAGUCAAGACCUCAGUGAAUGUUAUUGAUUGACAUGGGGACAGUCAUGUCAAGGACUAAUGCCUCAGUCCAAUGGAGUGUCAGAGCCUUCUCCAGGUGAAUCUGAAAGGGACUCCCAAGCCUUCCUUACAUCUGAGUGUGAAUGUUGGCAUUUGUGCAUGAAAUGUGUACUGUACUUUCUCUUCCCAAGAUGUUUAUGGCCUGAAGACUAUUCUUUCCCUACAAGGAUUGCUCCUACUGAGAUAACUAAAACUGACAUGUUUGUCUAUGUACCACAAGCCCUGCCUACUUGUUCAGUUGCAUGCAAAUAACUCUGACUCCUGACCAACUCUUUAUUAUGAACACACCCUGCUUCCACAGGCUGCAUCUUCUUAGAGAACCCACACAACCAGAUUGCAGCUUUCUGUAUCAAUGUGUCUAUCUUUUCCCUAUUUCCUCAAUCUCUGGAACCAAGCAGAAUGCAGGUGAUGGACUAUAUCUAUUACAUAUGAUGUACUUACUGGUAGGGACACAAUGGAAGACUCUCCCUAUCAUUUGUCAAUAGCCAAUAUUUUCUCAGAGAGGGAAAAUGUCCCACAAAUCUUUUCCCCAUCCAAGACUGACUGUUGACAGAUGAUACUUCUGCAGUCCCAGAACUGACAAGUGCAGCUGAAUGGAGGUCACCCAGGAUGGUUGAUGAUGACAAUUCCAGAAGCCAUAGGACAUCAAUGAAAAAUCCCAGUGCAGAUAUAGGAUACUUCCCUGUGGGGUGUUGGUCAAGAAGGACAGCUAUUGCUUUUUAGUUGUUCACAAGAACUAUAUUAGAUGUUAUUGCUGAACAUCUAAGCUGAAGGAUAUGGUCAAAUAAAAUUGGAAUACAC